GCUGCUGGGGCAGAUCGACUCUGGGCAUGCAAGUCCUCUGAACUCCCGGCUGGCACUGGCAGCCCACCCCUUUGGCCUCACCUAAUGAACCGGCUAUAAAUACAAGCCGUGAACGCUCCAGAAGGACCUUGGGUACCAGGUGGCCACUACUCUCUGUUCUUUAAAUGCCAGUGGAAGACAUACCUGGGAGCCACCUACAUCUUUCUCCUGUGUGGAGAACAUCAUAUCCUUCUGAGAUGAACCCCAUCUCCGUGCAGACAUGAAGCCCAGAGGCUGGAACAUGCUUCAUUCUUAGUUCUCCAGACUCCACAAGGCCAGCUAAACAGAACCAAAGGAGAAGGUGAUGUGCCUGAUGCAGGUGUGAAAGCUGUGGAUCUCCUGGUGACUUCAGCCCCUUUGUGUGUCUGGAACCAGCUGGAAGCUGGGGGCAGGUGGUUCUACUCAUCCUCCAGGCUUUAUGUGAAGAUGUGCGAAUGUUUUCUCCUGCUGAACUAUCUUGUCUCCCUUGGUGUCCAGAGGCAGACCAUGGCUAUGUAAUCUG